rnacentral:rRNA from 1 species
UACGAAGGGGGCUAGCGUUGCUCGGAAUCACUGGGCGUAAAGGGUGCGUAGGCGGGUCUUUAAGUCAGGGGUGAAAUCCUGGAGCUCAACUCCAGAACUGCCCUUGAUACUGAAGAUCUUGAGUUCGGGAGAGGUGAGUGGAACUGCGAGUGUAGAGGUGAAAUUCGUAGAUAUUCGCAAGAACACCAGUGGCGAAGGCGGCCCACUGGUCCGGUACUGACGCUGAGGUGCGAAAGCGUGGGGAGCAAACAGGG